AUAGUACUCUCGCCGUCCGGAAUUACUUAUUGGAUGUAUCUAGACAUAUUUUAGUUCUAGAUACAUCCAUUUUUAUCCAUUUCUGCGACAAGUAAUUUCGCACGAGGGAGUAUAUA
rnacentral:pre_miRNA from 1 species